GACGAACGCUGGCGGCGUGCCUAACACAUGCAAGUCGAACGGGGCUUAUACGGAAGGAUCUUCGGAAACGGAAAUAUAAGCUUAGUGGCGAACGGGUGAGUAACGCGUGAGGAACCUGCCUUUCAGUGGGGGACAACAGUUGGAAACGACUGCUAAUACCGCAUAACAUAUUGAGAUCGCAUGAUUUUGAUAUCAAAGCUUUAUGUGCUGAAAGAUGGCCUCGCGUCUGAUUAGCUAGUUGGAGGGGUAACGGCCCACCAAGGCGACGAUCAGUAGCCGGUCUGAGAGGAUGAACGGCCACAUUGGGACUGAGAUACGGCCCAGACUCCUACGGGAGGCAGCAGUGGGGAAUAUUGGGCAAUGGGCGAAAGCCUGACCCAGCAACGCCGCGUGAAGGAAGAAAGGGCCUUCGGGUUGGUAAACUUCUUUUACCUAGGGACGAAGGACGUGACGGUACCUGG
rnacentral:rRNA from 1 species